AUGUGCAGUAGAAUAUGCAUUCAUAUUAGAUCUCUCGCCUCUGCCUGGAAGACUGGCGCCGCCGCCGACGCUGCGUCUGAGCUACCUAUUCCGCUGCAUAUGUCAAUGGGCCCACCGCUGGCCGAUUGGCGGUGGCGUUGGGCGCGUUUCUGGUCUAUGCAUCGUACGUGCACUGCACGGUGGCCUGGCCACCUUCUCCACUGCACACUGAUUAUUUGGCACAAGGACGAAGCAUUUCGGAGAUCUGCUAUGGGCUGGAAGUCAUUUCUGAAAUACUUGUUAUUUGACAUGGGGAUGCAGCAUUUCCAAGAUCCGCCAAGGGCCAGAAGUUACUCUCACAAUGCUUAUUAUUUGGCACGAGGACAGCAUUUGAGAGAUCUGCCGAGGGCUGGAAGUCAUUUCUGUAAUACUUAUCACCAACCUUAUUCUAGGCGGUCAAAACUAAAAAAAAGAAGGCUAAGAAAUCCUGAUAAAAGCUUACAGGAAACUGUAAGAACAACAAGCGAACUGGAGUUCACAUAUGAGAUGCUGCUAAUCAAACAGACCAUCAACUGA
rnacentral:rRNA from 1 species